rnacentral:lncRNA from 1 species
CUCUGCCUUCAUUUUCAGUCUCCAGGACUCUACCCCUGAGGAUGGUUCUGCUCUCACUGCCUGGGCUGCCUCCCUGCUGGCUGUAUGAGAGCAGUAACAGCUGCCCAGCUGGGGAUGAAGACACAAGAGCCUACUGCAGAACCACAGCUUCUCAGACCUUUGUACGUGCACAAGCCCUCUGUCUCACCUCCAAGAGAAAGCCAUCCAUCCCCUGUGGGAAUAUUUCUCCCGGGGUAACAACUUUACUAGGAAACUCAGCUAAGAGGCACAUUAACUGUCCAGCAGCCUAUUGGGAAGAGUGGUGGAGGGGGCGAUGUUAACUCAGGAGGAGAUCGUGUGUGUGGACCAGGAGAAAUACAGCCUUUCAUGACAUUGAGCAUUGUGAGAAGAGUGAGAACAUGUUUUCAGAUCAUCAGAAAUGAUUACCAAUUGAAAAGAACGCAGUGUUGCCUUUGCCAUAAUGAGAGGGGCUGAGAGGGCAGCUACAGCAAGGAUGUGGAGAGAAGGAGGGACAGUGAGUCUCCAGCAGCAGGGAGAACAGGGGCCACCCAGACCAGGAGACAGCAUCUAGAGGACUGGGGACAGUGGGCUAUUGCUCUGGCAUCUUCAUUUUCUGUUCCCUUCCACCCACUAGGCAGCCUUUGAAUUUUGAUUUAGCUUCCCUAGUAGACUUUCCUCCUGAAAAGACACAGUUCCCCUUAGAAAAAAAUGCAUGGCCUUUCUGUCUCAGACCAGUUUCAUUUGUUUGCACAGUAUAAGCCAGAUUUCCCCUAGAACCUGAUUAUCCUGGGUAAGCUGAAAAGCCAAAGUGAUAUGACCAGAGCUUGGCAACUCUUCAGAUAUGAGGGGUAAACGUUGAAGAAAGAGUCAAAGAUAACAUCAAAUUUCUAAGCCAGAGUUCCCAGAAGGAUGAUCUACCGCAUACAGAAUAGGAAAAGGUAGAAUCUAUCAAAGUAUUGACCUUCAGGCCUUCCCUCACCACCAACCCUCUAUCUUAAUAUCUUGCGGUGGAGGGUCUGUUGGAAAUAGUCUGUAAUUUCAGGGGCCAUAUUUCACUUCCACAUUCAUUUAAUAAUAAUUAUGUAUUAGGUGCUUACCACGUGCAGGACACUGAAAUGGAUGUUAUGAGAUUGUACAAGGAUGAAAGACUUAGCAUAUCAUCCAAGAAGCACAUUAGAGUUGCGUAGGGAAUAUAAGGCACAUGUAUAAGUAAUGGAAAAUGCAAAUGUAUUUGAUGCUGUCAGCUACAAAUAAGAGAAAAUUCCAACUUUUAAUUUGAUUCAAAG